CAGCCGUAAACUAUGCGCGUUAGGUGUACUGGUGACCACGUGUUACUGAUGCGCCGAAGAGAAAUCGUGAAACGCACCACCUGGGAAGUACGGUCGCAAGGCUGAAACUUAAAGGACUUGGCGGGGGAGCACCACAACAGGUGGAGCCUGCGGUUUAAUUGGAUUCAACGCCGGACAUCUCACCGGAUAAGACAGCUGAAUGAUUGUCAAUCUGAAGGUUUUACAUGACUAGCUGAGAGGAGGUGCAUGGCGUCAGUGACU
rnacentral:rRNA from 1 species